rnacentral:tRNA from 1 species
UCCGAUAUGGUGUAGUGGCUAACAUUAUCGCCUCUCACGCGAUAGCCCGGGGUUCGAUUCCCCGUGUCGAAA